GUUUGGUCACGGUUAUGGUACGAGCCCUAUGAAGUUGACAUUUAACAAAAUAUCUUCCAACUUCUUCUCAGAUUGUACGAUGACUGGACCAUUGAUUACGACAUUGCAAUUUUCAAAGUCUCCACGGCAUUGCCAACUAACAACUACAUUUCAGCCGUCUGCAUUCCCAACGAGGGUUGGUUUGAGGGCGAAAAGGGCCUAGUUGCUGGCUGGGGUACCUUGACGUCUGGAGGGGAUUCCCCUUACAAACUUCACCAAGUACAGAAGCCCAUUAAGUCCAGGGCCACAUGUGAACUAAGAUACGGUGCUGGCUCGAUCAGUUUGAGAAUGUUGUGCGCUGGUUUACCUCAAGGCGGUGUUGAUUC
rnacentral:sRNA from 1 species